rnacentral:rRNA from 1 species
GUUGGGUAGGGGAGCGUUCUGUAAGCCUGUGAAGGUGUGUCGUGAGGCAUGCUGGAGGUAUCAGAAGUGCGAAUGCUGACAUAAGUAACGAUAAAGCGGGUGAAAAGCCCGCUCGCCGGAAGACCAAGGGUUCCUGUCCAACGUUAAUCGGGGCAGGGUGAGUCGACCCCUAAGGCGAGGCCGAAAGGCGUAGUCGAUGGGAAACGGGUUAAUAUUCCCGUACUUGGUGUUACUGCGAAGGGGGGACGGAGAAGGCUAUGUUGGCCGGGCGACGGUUGUCCCGGUUUAAGCGUGUAGGUGUGUGUUCCAGGUAAAUCCGGUUCACUUUAACACUGAGGCGUGACGACGAGGCACUACGGUGCUGAAGCAACAAAUGCCCUGCUUCCAGGAAAAGCCUCUAAGCAUCAGGUAACAUCAAAUCGUACCCCAAACCGACACAGGUGGUCAGGUAGAGAAUACCAAGGCGCUUGAGAGAACUCGGGUGAAGGAACUAGGCAAAAUGGUGCCGUAACUUCGGGAGAAGGCACGCUGACACGUAGGUGAAGUGAUUUACUCAUGGAGCUGAAGUCAGUCGAAGAUACCAGCUGGCUGCAACUGUUUAUUAAAAACACAGCACUGUGCAAACACGAAAGUGGACGUAUACGGUGUGACGCCUGCCCGGUGCCGGAAGGUUAAUUGAUGGGGUCAGCGCAAGCGAAGCUCCUGAUCGAAGCCCCGGUAAACGGCGGCCGUAACUAUAACGGUCCUAAGGUAGCGAAAUUUCCUUGUCGGGUAACGUUACCGGACCUCGCGACGAAUUGGCGUAAAAUGAUGGCCAGGCUGUCUCCACCCGAGACUCAGUGAAAUUGAACUCGCUGUGAAGACUGCAGUAGUACCCGGACGGCAAGUUACGGAAAGACCCCGUGAACCUUUACUAGUAGCUUCGACACCUGAAACAUUGAGCCUUGGAUGUGUAGGAUAGGUGGGAGGCUUUGGAAGUGGUGGACGCCAGUCUGCAUGGAGCCGACCUUGAAAUACCACCCUUUAAUGUUUGAUGUUCUAACGUGGACCCGUAAUCCGGGUUGCGGACAGUGUCUGGUGGGUAGUUUGACUGGGGCGGUCUCCUCCUAAAGAGUAACGGAGGAGCACGAAGGUUGGCUAAUCCUGGUCGGACAUCAGGAGGUUAGUGCAAUGGCAUAAGCCAGCUUGACUGCGAGCGUGACGGGCGAGCAGGU